AUUGAACGCUGGCGGCAUGCCUUACACAUGCAAGUCGAACGGUAACAGGUCUUCGGAUGCUGACGAGUGGCGAACGGGUGAGUAAUACAUCGGAACGUGCCUAGUAGUGGGGGAUAACUACUCGAAAGAGUGGCUAAUACCGCAUGAGAUCUACGGAUGAAAGCAGGGGAUCGCAAGACCUUGUGCUACUAGAGCGGCCGAUGGCAGAUUAGGUAGUUGGUGGGAUAAAAGCUUACCAAGCCGACGAUCUGUAGCUGGUCUGAGAGGACGAUCAGCCACACUGGGACUGAGACAUGGCCCAGACUCCUACGGGAGGCAGCAGUGGGGAAUUUUGGACAAUGGGCGCAAGCCUGACCCAGCAAUGCCGCGUGCAGGAUGAAGGCCUUCGGGUUGUAAACUGCUUUUGUACGGAACGAAAAGCCCCGGGUUAAUACCCUGGGGUCAUGACGGUACCGUAAGAAUAAGCACCGGCUAACUACGUGCCAGCCGCCGCGGUAA
rnacentral:rRNA from 1 species